UACGGGGGGAGCAAGCGUUGUUCGGAUUUACUGGGCGUAAAGGGCGCGUAGGCGGCGUAACAAGUCACUUGUGAAAUCUCCGGGCUUAACCCGGAGCGGCCAAGUGAUACUGUUGUGCUAGAGUGCGGAAGGGGCUACUGGAAUUCUCGGUGUAGCGGUGAAAUGCGUAGAUAUCGAGAGGAACACCAGUGGCGAAGGCGACUACCUGGCCUGUUCUUGACGCUGAGGCGCGAAAGCUAGGGUAGCAAACGGG
rnacentral:rRNA from 1 species